rnacentral:tRNA from 1 species
GUUUCUAGGGUGUGAAAAAGCACAUCAGGUUUUCAUCCUGGAGGAAUACCUAGUAUUAGAAAUU